GUGGACUCUCAAGCGUGAGGUAAGGGCAAUUCGUGGAUGCCUUGGCACAUACAGGCGAUGAAGGACGUGGCACGCUGCGAUAAGCAUAGGUGAGCUGUGAGCAAGCUUUGACCCUAUGAUUUCCGAAUGGGGAAACCCACCUAUCCGAUUAAUCCAACCUGUGCAGCAAUGCAGGGUGUUGGGUUAAUUGGGCUAGGUAUCACUUAGCUGAAUACAUAGGCUUCGUGAAGCGAACCCGGCGAACUGAAACAUCUCAGUAGCUGGAGGAAAAGACAUCAACCGAGAUUCCGUUAGUAGUGGCGAGCGAACGCG
rnacentral:rRNA from 1 species